rnacentral:rRNA from 1 species
UUUUACUGCUAGGCAAUGUGGUGUUUGGGUCGGCUCGUGGGAUUGCCACUCCGUUCGAAGUCCAGCAUUGAGUAUGGUACCCUGGAUUUGGCCCAUAGAGGGUGAAAGGCCCGUGCGAAUGGAUGUUUCAGACAUGAAAGGCGAUUCAUUAGGCCGGCCUUAGAGUCGGGUUGUUUGAGAAUGCAGCCCAAAGUGGGUGGUAAACUCCAUCCAAGGCUAAAUACUAGCACGAGUCCGAUAGCGAACAAGUACCGUGAGGGAAAGUUGAAAAGUACUCUGAAGAGAGAGUAAACAGUACGUGAAACCGCAUAAAGGUAAACGGGUGGCGUCAAGCUGCAAGCCUGGAGGAUUCAGCUGGUCAUUGUGUAGGGUAUACGUCCUGUGUAUCGCAGUCGGUGAUAGUGAGUAGUCCGCUGGCAAACGGCGGGCCUGGUCGCAAGGCUAGGAUGUACGUUCCACGUGUUCGGUGGUGUACGCUGCUCGGCUAUUGGACUGGAUGGCCAGUGCAUUUCCUCCAUUGAGGUGAACACCACGACCGGUGGAACUGCCAGUCUGGUAUAGCCAAGUUGUGUCUAUUUUGGCAUUCGUGUUGAUUAGGCGCAAUCACAGGCAGAUUCGGUGGACGGUGAGUGGACUUCGGUUUGCUCAUGUUAUCGGCCACUGGCUGUCGACGGGUCUGCUCGCUGAGGUUGCAGUCCUUGGUGGGUGGCCUGGUGGGCUAUGCUGGUAAGAAUAACUGUGCAGGGCACCGGAGUUGUCGGUCUCUAAUCCGGUUGGCGCACGCGCUGCAAGUGUGUGUGGAGGUGCCAUUGCGGCCUGUCGUUGGUUGGGUCUGAUUGCCGUGUUGCCUGCGAAAAGUAGGUCCGGUGGUGGCUCGGCUACGGUCGGUGCAUGUAGUGGUGCUCCUCUGUCUGUCGGUGUGGACCCAAUAGUCUGUGGUGUAGUGGUAGACGAGCUACCCGACCCGUCUUGAAACACGGACCAAGGAGUUUAAUAUACACGCGAGUCAAUGGGGACUUCCGAAACCCACAGGCGCAAUGAAAGUGAAGCCUCUUCUGGAGGUGUGGUGAGAUCCUGCUGUUACUCGCAUCUGCACUUGUGUAGUUUGUCGGCACAGGGCGCAAAGAGCGGUGGGCGCAUCACCGGCCCGUCUCAUAAUGUGGUCAUUGGUCGG